rnacentral:rRNA from 1 species
UAGUCAUAUGCUUGUCGUAAAGAGUAAGCCACGCAUGUGUACGUUCAAGCCCUUGUACGGUGAAACUGCGGAUGGCUCCUUAUAUCACGUGAUAAUUUGGUUGGUGGAGAAUGCUGUGGAUAACCGUGGUAAUUCUAGAGAUAAUACACGUGGAGCAGACGCAAGUCUGGCAUUUAUUAGAUAAAGCCUUGGCAAGGGGACAACUCGUUCCCUGCGCAGGUGAGUAAUGAUAACUGGGCGGAUCGCAAACUAUCUGCGACGCACCAAGGAAAUUUCUGCCCUAUCAACUGUGGAUGGUAGGAUAGGGGCCUACCAUGGUGGCGACGGGUGACGGGGAAUCAGGGUUCGAUUCCGGAGAGGGAGCCUGAGAGAUGGCUACCACUUCCAAGGAAGGCAGCAGGCGCGCAAAUUACCCAAUCCCGAGGCGGGGAGGUAGUGACAGGACAUGACGGGGCGGGGCGCUCAGCGUUCAGCGACUGGGUUGAGGAAAAGAUAAAGCGAAUGACGAGAAACGAUU